AUGGUUCACAUUCUAUCAAUGAUACGUAGCAAAACGGGGAAGCUCAGCAGCAUGCCAUAUCUUCCUUCAGAUGUGGUUAACCUGGUGGCAAAGUAUCAUAGGGAAAGUCAACUGACGGACAUGGAGGACACAAUUGCAUACUUUAAGGAAAAAGAGAAAGAAGAUGUUGAUUUCUUCUACAAAAUGAAGCUGGACCGAGAGGACCGCAUGGUGAACUUGUAUUGGAUAGAUAGUGCAACGCGCAGGGCAUACAAGCACUUUCGUGACUGUGUGUCCUUUGAUGCUACCUAUCUGACCAAUAUGUACAAGAUGCCAUGUGCUCCAUUCAUUGGCAUAAACAACCACAGUCAAUCGUUGCAAUUCGGGUGCAGGUUUAUUAGGAACGAGGAUGUUGAUAGUUAUAUUUGGCUCUUCAAAACUUUCAAGGAAUGCAUGGGCGGGCUUGAACCAAUGAACAUCAUAAUAGACCAGGAUUUCGGUAUGCGUGCAGGUAUUGAGGAAGUGUUCCCUAACACAAUACACAGGCACUAUAGGUGGCAUGUUAUUAAGAAAGCAGAAGAAACAUUGGGUCCCUUUUUUGCUGAAAGACCAGAACUGCACAAAGCAUUUGAAUUGUGUGUUGACCACAGUUUGGCACCGGAAGAAUUCGAGCGAAGCUGGAAAGCAAUGAUAGAUAAAUACCAGGUUGAGGACAACAAAACAUUACAAAACCUUUCUGAGAAGAGGAAGUUCUGGGUGCCAGCUUAUUUCAUGUAG
rnacentral:rRNA from 1 species